rnacentral:tRNA from 1 species
GAGAUUGUAGUUCAAUUGGUUAGAGUAUCGUCCUGUCAAGACGAAAGUUGCGGGUUCAAGUCCCGUCAAUCUCG